rnacentral:rRNA from 1 species
UACAGAGGGUGCAAGCGUUAAUCGGAGUUACUGGGCGUAAAGGGCGCGUAGGCUGGUAUUUAAGUCGAUUGUGAAAUCCCUGGGCUUAACCUAGGAAUUGCAUUUGAUACUGAAUAUCUUGAGUAUGGUAGAGGAAAGUGGAAUUCUCGGUGUAGUGGUAAAAUACGUAGAUAUCGAGAAGAACACCGGUGGCGAAGGCGACUUUCUGGACCAAUACUGACGCUGAGGCGCGAGAGCGUGGGGAGCAAACAGG